rnacentral:pre_miRNA from 1 species
GGAAUAUAAGAACUCGUCUCUUAACUUUUAACUAAAAAAGUUAAGAACCGGCUCUUAAAACUCUUAUUUAAGAACCGGUUCUUAGUUUUUUUAGUUAAAAAUUAAGAGACAGGUUCUUAUAUUCC